rnacentral:lncRNA from 1 species
GCCAGGUAGCACUAGCAGAGUCAUAAACUGAAAACAGAACUUGGACACGACAACAAAAUUUAUUAUAUCGGUGGUAUCAUUUUUCCUUCCUUUUCAUCCAACAAAUUUACCUUUUAAAGUACAUUUUGCCGAAAUUCCAACCAUGAAAAUUCCUCUCGAAGAACUUUGCAUACAAGUUUCUCUUUCGAACAUCAUUUUUUGCAAAUUUUGUAGUUGAUUCUUUCAUUUCUGUGUAGUUUGCGGCGAACCCAUUUAAAGCUUAUUCGUGUUCUUGUUCCUCUUGUGAAUUGAACCAUUUGAAGCUUCUCACUUUGUUCGGGUUCGCCGAUUUUUAACCGCUAUUUUUUGGUUUUUCUUUAAUUACUAUGUAAGUGUUUUUUCUUUUUUUAUUGAAUAUCUCUUGUUCUGUUACUGAAGUAUUAUAAUACUGCCCACCUCAAUUUCCUGUUUUUUGUUUGUUGCAAUUCUUGUGAAUGAAUUUGAUUCUGGUUCGCCGCUGGUACUGAAACGAGAAAGAGCCGCCUCAAUAAGAAACCUAGAAAACUUCAAUUUUUUCUCUCUGGUGAGUGCAACUCUCCACUCGAGGUAUUUUGUUUCAAAUGAACGUUAAGCCUUUGAAUUUGACUUUAUUUUCAGGAAAUUAUACUGUGCUGGGUGUAAUUUAUCUUGUAAAUUUCUCAAGAGCUUAUCGACAUUAAUUACUCUAC